CCUACGGGACGCACCAGUGGGGAAUCUUGCACAAUGGGCGAAAGCCUGAUGCAGCAACGCCGCGUGCGGGAAGAAGGCCCUAGGGUUGUAAACCGCUUUCAGCAGGGAAGAAACUGACGGUACCUGCAGAAGAAGGUGCGGCCAACUACGUGCCAGCAACCGCGGUGACACGUAGGCACCAAGCGUUGUCCGGAUUUAUUGGGCGUAAAGAGCUCGUAGGCGGUUCAGUAAGUCGGGUGUGAAAACUCUGGGCUCAACCCAGAGCCGCCACCCGAUACUGCUGUGACUUGAGUACGGUAGGGGAGUGGGGAAUUCCUGGUGUAGCGGUGAAAUGCGCAGAUAUCAGGAGGAACACCGGUGGCGAAGGCGCCACUCUGGGCCGUAACUGACGCUGAGGAGCGAAAGCGUGGGUAGCAAACAGGAUUAGAUACCCGCGUAGUC
rnacentral:rRNA from 1 species